GACGAACGCUGGCGGCGUGCUUAACACAUGCAAGUCGAACGGAAAGGCCCUGCUUUUGUGGGGUGCUCGAGUGGCGAACGGGUGAGUAACACGUGAGUAACCUGCCCUUGACUUUGGGAUAACUUCAGGAAACUGGGGCUAAUACCGGAUAGGAGCUCCUGCUGCAUGGUGGGGGUUGGAAAGUUUCGGCGGGUGGGGAUGGACUCGCGGCUUAUCAGCUUGUUGGUGGGGUAGUGGCUUACCAAGGCUUUGACGGGUAGCCGGCCUGAGAGGGUGACCGGCCACAUUGGGACUGAGAUACGGCCCAGAGUCCUACGGGAGGCAGCAGUGGGGAAUAUUGCACAAUGGGCGGAAGCCUGAUGCAGCAACGCCGCGGGCGGGAUGACGGCCUUCGGGGUGUAAACCGCUUUCGCCUGUGACGAAGCGUGAGUGACGGUAAUGGGUAAAGAAGCACCGGCUAACUACGUG
rnacentral:rRNA from 1 species